UUCGCAAUGCCCGAAAGGGUGACGAAGCGACGCCGCGUGCGGGAAGAAGGCCUUCGGGUUGUAAACCGCUGUCGGGAGUUAAGAAAUGUAAGGAUGUUAAUAGCAUCCUUGCUUGACUAAGGCUCCGGAGGAAGCCACGGCUAACUCUGUGCCAGCAGCCGCGGUAAUACAGAGGCGGCAAGCGUUGUUCGGAAUUAUUGGGCGUAAAGAGCACGUAGGCGGCUAUGUAAGUCGGUUGUGAAAGCCUUCCGCUCAACGGGAGAACAGCAUCCGAUACUGCAUGGCUUGAGUGCGGGAGGGGAGAGUGGAACUUCUGGUGGAGCGGUGAAAUGCGUAGAUAUCAGAAGGAACGCCGGCGGCGAAAGCGGCUCUCUGGCCCAUAACUGACGCUGAGUGUGCGAAAGCUAGGGGAGCAAACGGGAUUAGAUACCCCGGUAGUCCUAGCCGUAAACGAUGGGCACUAAGUAGAGGGGUUUUAAUCG
rnacentral:rRNA from 1 species